UUCGAGUUUCUUGAGCGCCUCCUGGA
rnacentral:piRNA from 1 species